CCGAAAUUAGAAUGGGGGAAGCCAUGGCUAGGGUUUUCAAGCUUUCCAAGCUCAAUAGUAAGUCUGUUCUAGCCCCGUUUUUCAAGUUCUUUACGAUUUUGGAAUCCCAGUAACUUGAUUAAGCUUAUUCUAGCAAUAAUUUAAGCUAGGGUUCAUAUUUGAAAAAAUACCCAUAGGUGAAAUGUGUUUAUUUUGAUGUUUUAUGGUAGAAUAUGAAGGCUGAAAUUAUGUUAAACAACUUUUGCUAAGCGGUUUUAAGCAAAAAUGAGUAAAACGGCUUAAUCGGUAAAAGUUAUUAUUGUUCAUAACUAUGUGUUAGAGUGAGAAUUUGAUGUUUUCAUAGAAGGGAAAAAUGAUCACCAUGUCAUAAAACAUAAGAAUAAGGGAUGAAGUUUAAUUCCGAGUCUAGGGGAAAAAGUGUAAAUAUGCAAAAGUUCAGCGGGAAAAUUGUAAUUUUUCCAAAGUUUGAGUUAAGGACUGUUUUGAAUAGUACAUUAAUUAAAUAAGUAAAAUAUGAUGUUUUAGAUCCCGAAAAAUGAGAUUUGAAUCUAGAAUGGGAGAAAAAUCGAAAAUCAGGAAAGUUGGUAAAAUGGCCGUUUUAGUAUCGAGGUAAGUUCAUAUGUAUAAUAAGUAUUAAUUUAUGCAUGUUUCAAUGUAAAAUUGAUAUAUUUACUACGAUUGUCGAGGUGUUGAAAGUAAGUAUAAUUAUGAUGAUUUAAAGGUUCAAUAUUAAUUCGACAUGAAAAUGAGAAAGUAUGUAAGUUUGUAUGUAAAUAAUACAUUAUCUUUAUUAUGUUUUUGUAUUUCAGCAUAUUUUAUGUAUUGUAGCUGAUUUUUGAAUCAUAAUUGACUAUUAGAAGUAUGGAAUCAAGUAUUAGAAAGAGAGAGAAAUCCCGGUUGAACCUUCGGAAAGAUUGGAUGAUACAGAUGGUAUGUAGCUAGGUCACAUGUAUGGUGCUGAGUGCACAUCAUGUGUACAAGAGAUCUACGAGACAUUAUGAUGUAGCUAGGUCGCAUGGGUAAUAUUAUAUGUACACCAUGUAGACAAGAGAGCUACGAGAUAAACUGGCUAGGUUACAUGGGUGAUACUAAGUGUUCACCAUGUGUACAAGAGAGCCAAAAUUAUGUGUACAAUCGAGCUAGGUCACAUGAGUGGUGCCAAGUGAAGGCCACUAUGUGUACAAGAGAGCUUCGAUUUUAAAGGUGGGUUGUGUGCGAUACCAUCGCGUAUCUGUUAUUAUUCCGAAGCGUUCAACUGGGAAAUUGAUUAAAUAAAAUUGUGUAUGACUUUGUGAUGAUAAGUGUAAGUGUAUACGUGUGUAACUUAUGAGCAAUAUGCUGAUAUGUGAUUGGAAAUUAGAAAGAUUGUUAUGGGAAAGUGAUGAAUACAAUUGAAGUGUGAAAGAUCAAAAUUGACAAUAAAACUGUUCUGGAUAAUUGCAGUGACGUAAAUCUAAAAAUUUACCAAAAAUAGUAGAAAUUGAAUCAGAGACUAAAUGAGAUAUCAAAUUAGAGCUUAAUGAGUCUAUUUUCAUAUAACAAAAACAGAGCAAGCAAAGGAAUUCUAUAUUAUGAGAUAUUUAAGUUUUUGAGAGACUGGUUCAGAAUGACUACGUGAUCCCCUGUUCUGACUUGGAAAAAUCAUUAAAAAUUUUAAAAAAAUAAUUAUGGGAUAUAAUUUAUAUUCAUGAAAUCCUUAGUGAGUCUAGUUUCAAAUGAAAUAAACGAGAACAUCCUUUGAAUUCUAUACAAGGAUAAAAUUGAUUCGUAGUGAAGAGUGGUCAGAACAGUUGAGCAGUGAAAUAGGGGUAACUUCAAUGAAUAAAAUUUACUAAUUGGCUGGACAAAAAAUUCUAAAAAUUUUAUGGUAAGAAUAUAUGUGAAUCUAGUUUCAAUAAAAAUUAACGGUUUGUAAUUUGGAGUUCUGUAGCUCUAGAAAUAAAUAAUUUAGUUGCUGGUACUUUGCUAGACAGCUUAUUUUGAACAUGUUUAUGAUUGUAAUCGUGAAAGUAUGUGUGUUUGUGAUGGUAAUAUUCUGGGAACAUAUUGUGACUUUGUUUAAAGUAUGAUAAUGUAUUGUUUAUUAAUAUUUACAUACUUACUUACUAAGCUAUAAUGCUUACUCCCUUCCUUUCCUUUUCCUAUAGUGUAGCAGAUGUUAGCUCGAGUUGGAGGUCGUCGGAGGUUAAAUCACACUAUCAAACUAUUGAUCGAUAUAUAAAUGUUUUAAAGUAUUUUAAGUCUUUGGCAUGUAUGGAGACUUGUUUAAUUGUUAUUAAGUUGCUAGGAAUUGGUUUAAAAUACUGACCUAUGUUAUUUGAAGGUCUCUAUUGUAUAAAGUC
rnacentral:lncRNA from 1 species